CCUACGGGUGGCAGCAGUGGGGAAUAUUGGGCAAUGGGCGCAAGCCUGACCCAGCAACGCCGCGUGAAGGAAGAAGGCUUUCGGGUUGUAAACUUCUUUUCUCAGGGACGAAGCAAGUGACGGUACCUGAGGAAUAAGCCACCGCUAACUACGUACCAGCAGCCGCGGUAAUACGUAGGUGGCAAGCGUUAUCCGGAUUUACUGGGUGUAAAGGGCGUGUAGGCGGGGACGAAAGUCAGAUGUGAAAACCACGGGCUCAACCUGUGGCCUGCAUUUGAAACUGUGUUUCUUGAGGACUGGAGAGGCAGACGGAAUUCCUAGUGGAGCGGUGAAAUGCGGAGAUAUUAGGAGGAACACCAGUGGCGAAGGCGGUCUGCUGGACAGUAACUGACGCUGAGGCGCGAAAGCGUGGGGAGCAAACAGGAUUAGAUACCCUUGUAGUC
rnacentral:rRNA from 1 species